rnacentral:rRNA from 1 species
AAAUGCCGGUGUGAGUAGCGAAAGAUAGGUGAGAAUCCUAUCCAUCGAAAGCCUAAGGUUUCCAGGGGAAGGCUCGUCCGCCCUGGGUAAGUCGGGACCUAAGGUGAGGCCGAAAGGCGUAGCCGAUGGACAACAGGUUGAUAUUCCUGUACCACUUAUUAAACUGAUGGAGUGACGGAGAAGGCUAAGUUGAGCGUGUGAUUGGAUUCACGUGUAAGCAGUGAGGUGGUCAUGUAGGCGAAUCCGCAUGGCAUAACAUUGAGCUGUGAUGCCGAAGCCGAAUGGCGAAGUCAACUGACGUCACGCUUCCAAGAAAAGCUUCUAGGGUUAAUUUAAUAAGUGCCCGUACCGAUAACCGACACAGGUAGGCGAGGAGAGAAUCCUAGGAUGAGCGAGAGAACUCUUGUUAAGGAACUCGGCAAAAUGACCCCGUAACUUCGGGAGAAGGGGUGCUUGUGAAAGCAAGCCGCAGUGAAUAGGCCCAGGCGACUGUUUAUCAAAAACACAGGUCUCUGCUAAACCGCAAGGUGAUGUAUAGGGGCUGACGCCUGCCCGGUGCUGGAAGGUUAAGAGGAGAGGUUAGCGCAAGCGAAGCUUUGAAUUGAAGCCCCAGUAAACGGCGGCCGUAACAAUAACGGUCCUAAGGUAGCGAAAUUCCUUGUCGGGUAAGUUCCGACCCGCACGAAAGGCGUAACGAUCUGGGCGCUGUCUCAACAAGAGACUCGGUGAAAUCAUAGUACCUGUGAAGAUGCAGGUUACCCGCGACAGGACGGAAAGACCCCGUGGAGCUUUACUGUAGCUUGAUAUUGAGCACUGGUGGCACAUGUACAGGAUAGGUAGGAGACGAAGAAACCAGGACGCCAGUCUUGGUGGAGUCGCUGUUGGGAUACUACCCUUGUGUCACUGGGGUUCUAACCCGUGGCCCUUAUCGGGUCAGGGAACAGUGUCAGGUGGGCAGUUUGACUGGGGCGGUCGCCUCCCAAAGAGUAACGGAGGCGCCCAAAGGUUCCCUCAGAAUGGUUGGAAAUCAUUCGAAGAGUGUAAAGGCAGAAGGGAGCUUGACUGCGAGACCUACAAGUCGAGCAGGGACGAAAGUCGGGCUUAGUGAUCCGGCGGUACCGAAUGGAAGGGCCGUCGCUCAACGGAUAAAAGCUACCCCGGGGAUAACAGGCUGAUCUCCCCCAAGAGUUCACAUCGACGGGGAGGUUUGGCACCUCGAUGUCGGCUCAUCGCAUCCUGGGGCUGUAGUCGGUCCCAAGGGUUGGGCUGUUCGCCCAUUAAAGCGGUACGCGAGCUGGGUUCAGAACGUCGUGAGACAGUUCGGUCCCUAUCCGCCGUGGGCGUAGGAAAUUUGAGAGGAGCUGUCCUUAGUACGAGAGGACCGGGAUGGACACACCGCUGGUGUACCAGUUGUUCUGCCAGGAGCAUAGCUGGGUAGCUACGUGUGGACGGGAUAAACGCUGAAAGCAUCUAAGCGUGAAGCCCCCCUCAAGAUGAGAUAUCCCAUUCGAAAGAAGUAAGAUCCCUUGAAGACGACGAGGUUGAUAGGUCAGGAGUGGAAGUGUGGUGACACAUGGAGCGGACUGAUACUAAUCGAUCGAGGACUUAACC